UACGGAGGGUGCGAGCGUUGUCCGGAAUCACUGGGCGUAAAGGGCGCGUAGGCGGCGCGGGCAGUCAACGGUGAAAGCUCGGAGCUCAACUCCGAGUCGGCCGUCGAUACUCCCGUGCUUGAGCACUGUAGAGGCAGGUGGAAUUCCGGGUGUAGCGGUGGAAUGCGUAGAGAUCCGGGAGGAACACCAGUGGCGAAAAGCGGCCACCUGGACUACACCCUG
rnacentral:rRNA from 1 species